ACUUACUUUAGGAGACUAUAUAUUAAAACUAGAACAAUAGAGGGAAGAUUAGUAUGUCCCCUGCAUGCAAGGAAAGCAUGCAAACUGUGGAACCAUCCCUUUCUUUU